GUUUCCCUACGCAAGCUCUCUCUUUUUGUCUGCUGCCAUCCACAUAAGACAUGGCCAGCUAUUCCUUGCCUUCUGCCGUAAUUGUGAGGCCUCUCCAGCCAUAUGGAACUAGAAGAAAACUGAGGCAUAGAACAUUUGGGAAUGCAUCUAAGACUACACAUCUAGAAUAGCAGAGUGCAUAUCAUCGUCAUUCAUCUCACUUUUCCUUCUAACAUCAAGGAUCUAUACAAGGCCGUUGAUCCCCACUGCUGCAUAUUUCUUGGAUCUAUCUGAGGUCCCAGAUCCCAUUGCCUCUUCAUCCUCACAGCCACUGCUGGGUCUGGGUCCUCAUAAGUUCUAUCUGGAAGUUUCAAUACAGUCUUUCUCGAUGUGCUCCACACUGUUAUGGGAAUGAAUUUUCAAACACCCCUGCUUUGAAGAUAGGGUGCUUCCAGGGUAAGGCAUAAAGUUCUCCAGGGAGGCAACAGUGCAGUGGUAUACAGACAGCACAGCCUUUCAUUCCUGCGAGGCCACUUACACCUGAGUGAAGAUGGGAAGAAGAGAAGACAAGGACGAAUGUAGGAAACUGUCAGUUAAAUGACAAUGUAUGGAUGGCAAGAGAGAAAUAAUAGUCAGUGAUGGAAAAAUAAUAACAGCUUUGGGCUUUUGAGUUUGAAAAUGGUGUGUAGGGUGAGACAACAAUAGGAAACUUCUAAUAAAGAAUGAACAAGUAGUUCUACUUGUUCAAUGAAUGUGAAUCUGGUACUUACAUUUGAUCCUUAAAAUAUUCUCACUAAACUGGUAUCAUUUAAUGGAACUGUUUAAUGUUAUCCUGGGCAAGUUACUUACUCAAUUUGCCUUAGCAUCUCAUCUACAAAAUGUGGAUGAGUACCUACCCCCCAGGGUUAUGUCAAAAAUUAGAUAAGAUGAAAAGUAAGUUAUACUAUUAGAAUGUCACCCAAUACAUAGUUUGGAAUUUUUUAAAAUGUCAGCUAUUAUGAUGAUAACAGUGGUGGCUUACAAGACCUUUGACCAUCUGGCUUCCCUCUCCAAGCAUGCCAAAUUAAUUACACUUCUUAAACACAUCUCUUGACCAGGGUGUUCUCACCAUGCCCUUUCUACAAACAAAAAGUAAGUACUCUUCUCAUUCUUUAGAACCAAUUCUAAAUUCUCCCUCAUAUGAGAAUUUCCUUAUUAUUCCACCUGGUAUGAAUGAUUUCCACUUCCAGGGUCCCCAAGACUUUAAUAUCAUUUCUGGAGCAUAUGUGAUGAUACUGUAAUAAUUAUAAUGAUACUAUUAUGCUAUUGCAUAUUAUGGUAUUCAGUACAAACAAUUUCUUGAUGACAAGAAAAAUGCCCA